UCUGAUAUAGCUCAGUGAUAAGAGUGCACGCUUACCACUGGGGCGGUCCUGGGUUCAACUCCCAGAUUUGUGAA